rnacentral:rRNA from 1 species
AUUGAACGCUGGCGGCAGGCCUAACACAUGCAAGUCGAGCGGAUGAAGGGAGCUUGCUCCUGGAUUCAGCGGCGGACGGGUGAGUAAUGCCUAGGAAUCUGCCUGGUAGUGGGGGAUAACGUCCGGAAACGGGCGCUAAUACCGCAUACGUCCUGAGGGAGAAAGUGGGGGAUCUUCGGACCUCACGCUAUCAGAUGAGCCUAGGUCGGAUUAGCUAGUUGGUGGGGUAAAGGCCUACCAAGGCGACGAUCCGUAACUGGUCUGAGAGGAUGAUCAGUCAACCUGGAACUGAGACACGGUCCGGACUCCUACGGGAGGCAGCAGUGGGGAAUAUUGGACAAUGGGCGAAAGCCUGAUCCAGCCAUGCCGCGUGUGUGAAGAAGGUCUUCGGAUUGUAAAGCACUUUAAGUUGGGAGGAAGGGCAGUAAGUUAAUACCUUGCUGUUUUGACGUUACCAACAGAAUAAGCACCGGCUAACUUCGUG